GCUAUCUCUGGUGGCAGGUUCAAGAUAUGCGGCAAGAUGGCACUCUAGUUUACCAGAUGCUAAACAGACUUCUGACAUUAUCUCAUCAACCCCAGGAGAAGUUUGCUUUUGUGUUUUCUUAUGCAAUGAUUCACAGAAACCAAGGUUCUACAAUGACAUGUAUUUAGGGCAGAGGCCAGGGGCUAGAAAUGACUGUUGGCUGCAUCGAUGAAGACUCAACAAUUCGAUUCUUUCCGUCUUUUGAGAGUGCUUGACAAUGUGAUGUCUACGACCCAAGUCGUGGACAAACAAACACACUAAUAAAUACACAUACACAAUUGUA
rnacentral:sRNA from 1 species